rnacentral:rRNA from 1 species
UCAAGCAUUCCGGAUUAUUGGGCGUAAGAGCUCGUAGGCGGUUUGUCGCGUCUGUCGUGAAAGUCCGGGGCUUAACCCCGGAUCUGCGGUGGGUACGGGCAGACUAGAGUGCAGUAGGGGAGACUGGAAUUCCUGGUGUAGCGGUGGAAUGCGCAGAUAUCAGGAGGAACACCGAUGGCGAAGGCAGGUCUCUGGGCUGUAACUGACGCUGAGGAGCGAAAGCAUGGGGAGCGAACAGGAUUAGAUACCCUGGUAGUCCAUGCCGUAAACGUUGGGCACUAGGUGUGGGGAACAUUCCACGUUUUCCGCGCCGCAGCUAACGCAUUAAGUGCCCCGCCUGGGGAGUACGGCCGCAAGGCUAAAACUCAAAUGAAUUGACGGA